CGAAGUAUAGCUAANUUAGUUUAGUAUUUCAGUUACAUUGAGAUGAAUUAUCGUGCAAGUCGAUUUACUUUGAG
rnacentral:tRNA from 1 species